GAUGAAGAACGUAGCGAAAUGCGAUACUUGGUGUGAAUUGCAGAAUCCCGUGAACCAUCGAGUCUUUGAACGCAAGUUGCGCCUCAAGCCAUUAGGUUGAGGGCACGUCUGCCUGGGCGUCAUAUAUCGUUGCCUGAUGCCAGUUUCCUCGUGAUGGGUGACUGUGCAGGGCGAAUGAUGGCUUCCCGUGAGCAUUGUUGCCUCAUGGUUGGUUGAAAAUUGAGUCCUUGGUAGGGAGCGCCGUGAUAGAUGGUGGUUGAGUGACGAACGAGACCCAAUCAUGUGAGACCCCUACCGAAUUUGGCCUUCAUGACCCACAUGCGUCUUUGGAACGAUCAUGACGAGACCUCAGGUCAGGCGGGGCUACCCGCUGAGUUUAAGCAUAUCAAUAAGCGGAGGA
rnacentral:misc_RNA from 1 species